UACGGAGGGUGCGAGCGUUAAUCGGAAUGACUGGGCGUAAAGGGUGCGCAGGUUGUUUUUUAAGUUAUCUGUGAAAUUCCUGGGCUUAACCUAGGGAGGUCAGAUGAUACUGGAAGACUUGAGUAUGGGAGAGGGCAGUGGAAUUUCCGGUGUAGCGGUGAAAUGCGUAGAUAUCGGAAGGAACACCGGUGGCGAAGGUGGCUGCCUGGCCUAGUACUGACACUGAGGCACGAAAGCGUGGGUAGCAAACAGG
rnacentral:misc_RNA from 1 species